rnacentral:lncRNA from 1 species
AUAAAGAACUCUCUUUUUUAACACACAAAAGACAUUCAAAUCCUUCAUCCUCUUCACUUUUUCAUGUACUGCAACUUCUUUCAACCACCUUCCAUAUUUUCUUCUUCACUCAUUUAUCACAUACAACCCCUCUAUAAUCACAUGCACACAAAACCAAUAUAACCGCGGAAUUCACAUCACCACAACCUCAACGUACACCCCCUCUCAAUGCUCCGAUACCGCUACCGACCACCAUCUUUCCGUUUUCAUUUUCAGGAACACGUGAAUCCUCUUGUAGUGGCAUUACAAAGAAACAACAACACCGCCCACACGACAACGCUACUCAGCAUUUCAGCAACAACACGCAGCAACUCGGGUUUGUUUCUUUUAUUUCUCCUUUUGUUGUUUUUGAUGCGGUUUGGUUAAUAUUGCUUUCGCUUCACAUUUUAGUUAGCAUGCGUGUUUCGAUUAUGUUUUAGUUUUGUCGAUAUCGUUGUGUAGCUUAUUUUUUCUUGCUAUUUGCGUUUUGGUGUUGAAGAUAUUUACUGAACUAUGUUGUUGUUGUUGUUUGUACGUGUGCAUUGUAUUGAGAAAUUAUAUUGAAGUUUGUUUUAAUUUUCACACAUACACUGCGUUUACAUAUACAUGAACAUAUAUUCUUAGUAUAUAGAGUUAGUUUUAAAAUAUAUAUACUGUUAGUUUUCUAUUUUUAUUUUAUUUAUUUACUUUUUUAGUUAAUUUUAUAAUAUAUACUUUCAUAUUAUGUUUUGCUAUGCAUAUAUAAAUUUUUUAUUUAAGUUUAUAUAUAUAUAUAUAUAUAUAUAAUAUAUAUAUAUAUAUAUAUAAUAUAUAUAUAUAUAUAUAUAUAUAUAUAUAUUGAUAAUUUGAUUUAGAAACGUAGUAUAUAUACUGAAAAGUUGCUGCAUAAGAUAUAUGAGGAAGAAGAUAAACUUGAAAGACAUACUGCUAUUGCAAGUUUGUGUUGAUUUUUUUUUUAAUUUAAUUGAUUUUAGCGUGAUUUUUGUUUAUAUAAACUUUUGGUUGUAUUAAUUUAAUGAUAAGUCAUUCAUGGCUUGGUGGCUAAAAAAUCUUAUGAUUGCAAUUAAGGGCCUUAGUUCAUAUAUUUAUUUACUUUUUUUAAUUGACUUAUUUUUGGGUCUUUGUAUAUAAGUUUUUUUGUGGGAGGGUCCAUUCAACUCCUUUUGUAUUCCAAUCUUCGUACUUCGAUCAUUUGAACCUCAAACCUUCACACUCCAAUAUUCAAAUUUUUUUCUCUCAUUAAAAUGUGAAGAAAAAGAUUACCCUAGAUGGAUAUCCAGUCGUAAUCUCGAAUAUUAGGCUCAAGUUGUAAGAGAUUGUAAGCCUUAUCUAUUCAUCUUCUCUUUAAAACGCUCCAAUAUUCAAAUCUUUUUCUCAAUAAAAUUUGAAGAAAAAGAUUAACCUGGAUGGAAUAUCCAGUUGUAAUCCCGAAUAUUAGACCCAAGUUAUAAGAGCUUGUAAGUCAUAUGUAUUCGGCUUCUCCUCUAAAACACUUGUAAAUAUUCAAACUUUUUUUUCCAAUAAAAUUAAAAGAAAUAGAUUACCUGGGUGAAAGUUCCAGACGUAGUCCCGAGUAUUAGACCCAAGUUGUAAGAGCUUGUAAGUCAUAAAUACUCGUCUUUCAAGCCCAAAAAUACAUCCAACCAAUCAAACUCUUUUUCGCCGUCGUGCGAUUGAUUAGAAAAUCCUUUUCUUAAAUGAAAGACAUCUUGUCUUAAGAUAAUGCAAAGCAAUGCUUCGGCCAUAAUUGUUGAGUUGAGAUAAGUGACGUUUUUCCGAAUGUUGAUUUGUAAAUCCAUUCGAUGUGUGGUAUUCGUCCGCUCCUCAUCUAUUCUGGGUAAACCAAUAUUUUCGUCGAUUAAUACAAUAUAGCUUUCGCUAAAAUCGACCAACGAACAAAUAUUUUUCUACCCAGAACUACGUAAGUCUUGAGUUCUCUAUUGAGAUACGUAGGAGCAGGAUUGCGAAAUCUUGUCAGGCCCAUUAAUAAAAAACUUAGGUUUAGUCCCCUUCGUUGCAAAAAAAUCCAAAAACAUCUUCUCUUUUCUUUUGAUCCUAUUAUUUUUUCCCUCAUAAUAUCUUGAGAAGCCUAACAUUUCAAGAUAACACUAACACAGACAAUUAACCUAAUGGUUCCCGUUGAGUACAACGGACGUGAGGGGUGCUAAUACCUUCCCCUUGCGUAAUCGACUCCCGAAACCUAAUUUGGUUGCGGACACCAUAAUCAUUAUCGUUCUUUCUUGGGUUUUAUCGAUAUUUCCCCUUUCCUUUUUAGGGAUAAAUAAAGUUCGGUGGCGACUCUGUUCAGUCCAUCAUUGCGAGCGUGCAAUUGCGCCUCACAUAGUCGUGUUUUCAUUUUUCGAGGUGCGACAGAUGGCGACUCUGCUGGGGACACAUUUGUCUCCCUAACUGAGUCAAUCCUACUUAGGUUGUUUGUGUGCCUUUGUUUCUUUACUUGUGUGGCUUUUUUUUAUUGUUUUUUCUAUCUUUAUUGUCUUAUUGAUAAAAUCUGUUGUAUUGGUUCCAUUAUGCUUUGGUACUUGGAAGUCAUAAAUACUCGGGUCUAAUACUCGGGACUACGUCUUUCAAGCCCAAAAAUACAUCCAACCAAUUAAAGUCUUUUUCGCCGUCGUGCGAUUGAUCAGAAAAUCCUUUUCAUAAACGAAAGACAUCUUGUCUUAACAUGAUGCAAAGCAAUGCUUCGGCCACAAUUGUUGAGUUGAGAUAAGUGACGUUUUUCCGAAUGUUGAUUUGUAAAUCCAUUCGAUGUGUGGUAUAUGUCUGCUCCUCAUCUGUUUUGGGUAAAACAAUGUCUUCGUCGAUUAAUACAAUAUAGCUUUCGCUAAAAUCGACCAACAAACAAAUAUUUUUCUACCCAGAACUAUGUAAGCCUUGAGUUCUCUAUUGAGGUACGUAGGAGCAGGAUUGCGAAAUCUUGUCAGGCCCAUUAAUAAAAAACUUAGGUUCUGUCCCCUUCGUUGCAAAAAAAUCCAAAAACAUCUUCUCUUUUGUUUUGAUCCUAUUAUUCUUUCCCUUAUAAUAUCAUGAGAAGCCUAACAUUUCAAGCUAACACUAACGCGCACAAUUAACCUAAUGGUUCCCUUGUUCUUUGUUUGCCUUGUGUGUUAUCCCUUAUCUGUAAUUGUUGCAUUCAUGCAUUCAUGCACAUCAUAACAUUCAUCACACGAAAAUUUAAGGGAACUGAGGUAUUAUUUGCAAAUAUUUUUAGACCAUGGACUGUGGACGAAGGAGCACUAAGAAAUACAGUUUCAGAUGUCCCGACUUGAAAGAGUUAAGGAAGCUAGCAUCUUUUGUAUUAGAUCCCUUGGACUUCAAACAAUGUCAUAGGAAGCUUUUGUCCAUCUUGUCUGCUGAUGUGGUUGAAGGACUUUUGAGUAUAUUGGUGCAAUUCUAUGAUCCUCUCUACCGUUAUUUCACUUUCCCAGAUUUUCAUCUUAUGCCUACAUUGGAGGAGAUUCCCCGAUCUAGUAUUAUUGCUGAAGCUCUUAACUUGAAGAAGUCUGAGAUAGAGGCUCAUUGGGUGAAGAAAAGAGGAUUGUUUGGGUUGCCAUCUGAUUUCCUCAUUAAGGAAGCUACUGCCUUUGCUUAAGCCGGUAGUAUGGAUGCUUUUGAAGCUAUCCUUGUGUUGCUCAUUUAUGGAUUAGCUUUGUUCCCUAACAUUGACGGAUUUGUUGAUGUUAAAUCCAUUAGACUUUUCUUGAUUUGGAAUCAUGUGUCUACUUUGUUGGUUGAUAUGUAUUUCUCUUUAUAUCUAAGGAAUUCUAAGGGUGGUGGGACCGUUGUCUGUUGCAUUCCUCUUCUGUACAAGUGGUUUCUUUCGCACUUGCCUCAGACGUCUGCUUUUGUGGAGAACAAACAAUGUCUAAGGUGGACUCAGAGACUUAUGUCUCUCACUAAUGAUGAUAUAGUUUGGUAUGAUCCGUAUUUAAGCAGUUUGGAGAUUAUUGAUAGUUGUGGUGAAUUCUCUAAUGUGCCUCUCAUUGGUACACAAGGAGGAAUUAACUACAACCCUGCUUUGGGUCGUCGUCAACUUGGGUUCCCCUUGAGAGACAAACCUAAUAACACUUUGUUAGAAGGUAUUUUCUAUCAAGAGGGUAAAGAUUCCAAACAUUUGAAGCAGAAGAUUAUGCAAGCUUGGCAUAAUAUGCAUAGGAAAGGAAGAUCCAAGCUUGGUCCGUGCAAUUGUGUAGCUUUGGAAGCUUACACUUUUUGGGUGAAGAAGAGAGCUUUGGAGUUGAAGAUGCCUUAUCCUUGUGAAAGACCUAUGUUUAUGGUUCUGGUUGAGCCAUUAACUCUCCCUAACCAAGAUGUAGAGGAGUUGGAAGAUGCGCUCAUUAAGAUGAAGCAAGAGAAGGAUAUGUGGGAAGAGCGUUUCCGUGCUUUGAGCAAGAAGCAUGAAGAGUUGUAGUUGGAGUCUAAGGACAAGAAUGCACUUAUUGAGCUACUUGAAGACCGAGUGACGAAGAGACAGAGAGAGCCAGAGGUUUCAUCUUCUAGCAUGCCUCAGCCUUCCGUUGCUUGGAAGAAGAUUGUUGACCAACUUGUCCUCAAGAAGACUCAGAUGAAGGCUUCUUUUGAGACCGAGAUCCGUCGCAUUCGAAGGAAGUACACGCCUACAGCCAGACCUUCUGACAUCGUUGUUAGGGAUCCUUAGGAUGACUAGUCUCCUUUUCUCUUGUAUUUUUCAUUUGGUUUCUGAAAUUGUACUCAGUGUAAUCCUUCCAAUUUAUAUAAAUAAAAAGAGAUUUUUGGUCAUAUCAAAUUAAUCCUUAGGAUGACUAGUCUCCUUUUCUCUUGUAUUUUUCAUUUGGUUUCUGAAAUUGUACUCAGUGUAAUCCUUCCAAUUUAUAUAAAUAAAAAGAGAUUUUUGGUCAUAUCAAAUUAUUGCAAUUACCAUUUAAAUAUUUGUAAAUGAUAUAGUAAGUUCCUUGAAAAAUAAAAAUAAUCGAGCAUGGCAUUUCAUGCAUCAUUUGCAUAAACAGGUUUUCGCCAGAUGUCUGAUUGGUGUUUCUUCUAUGCUUUAGCCAAGCUGACUCACCGGUACAAUACCCGAGCCAAUCAUCUGAGAAUCAUGGAGCACCUAGAGCAAGAGAACAGAGAGCUGAAGGAUGAGAUCGCGCGCCUGACGGCCAUGAUGGAGUCAUUUCUUGCCGCUCAUAGUCAAUUUUCUCCAAUGCCUGCAACUCCUCCUGCGAGGACUAUUAUUUCAGAGGUAGCUACCUCUACCGUGCUUGUUGUUGCCGCCCACUUCGCGCCAACUAUGCCUGCCGGAUUCCCGUGGGGAAUGUCGUCCAACUUUGUGCCCGAAGGCUUUGCGCCUACCUUUGCUUCCAUGCUGGCAUCUAGCCCGGUCAUGUCCGUGCCACUUCCCGUUGUGCACACUUUGCCUCGCGUAGAGGACACCAUCUAUCAUUCCGAGCCGUCUGAGGGUCCGGAUGUUUAUGAAAAGAUGGAUGAAAUGAAAGAUCAGUUUCUUGAGUUGCACAAGGAAUUGAAGAUGCUGAGAGGUAAAGAUUUGUUUGGGAAAAGUGUUGCCGAGUUGUGUUUGGUGCCCAACGUCAAGAUCCCGGUGAAGUUCAAAGUGCCUGACUUUGAAAAGUAUAAGGGGAACUCUUGUCCGCUCAGUCAUCUUGUGAUGUAUGCUUGCAAGAUGUCUACUCAGACCAACAAUGAUCAAUUGCUUAUUCACCACUUCCAAGAUAGUCUGACUGGCGUUGUGCUUCGUUGGUAUAUGGGAUUGGACAAUGCCAGCAUUCACACUUUCAAUGAUUUGGGGGAGGCUUUUGUCAAGCAGUAUAAGUAUAAUAUGGACAUGGCGCCAGAUAGAGACCAACUAAGGUCUAUGUCUCAAAAGGACAAAGAGACAUUUAAAGAGUAUGCGCAGCGAUGAAGGGAGUUGGCUGCCCAGAUUACUCCUCCUUUGGAGGAAAAAGAAAUGACAACGAUCUUCUUGAAAACUCUGAGUUCCUUUUACUAUGAACGAAUUAUUGCUAGUGCCCCAUGUGACUUUACCGAAAUGGUAAACAUGGGGAUGAGGCUUUAGGAAGGAGUCAGAGAGGAACAUUUGUCAAGAGAUGAGGCAUCAACAAGCAAGAGGUAUGGUAGCAAUUUUUGUAAGAAGAAAGACAAUGAGACUAAUGCAAUUUCGAGUGGGAGGCAGAGGAGGCCUCAGAUUAGAAGAAUAAACCCUCCCGUCAACAUCAUCAUCAUCAAGUAUCUUCCAUUAUCCCGAUAUUUUCUAAUCAACAAAUAACACCAGUUCAACAACAACAACGUCAACAAUAACAACCGCAACAACGAACAAACACCUACAACAACAAUACCAAUAACAAUCAUCAACAACAAAACUUGAAAGGAAGAAGGUCUCUUUUGACCCGAUUCCUAUGUCUUACACAGAGCUUUAUCCAUCCUUGGUUCUCAAGAACCUAAUCCAACCAAGAAACCCACCUCAUAUUCCAGAACCACUUCCUUGGUGGUAUAAACCCGAGCUCUGUUGUGCUUUUCAUCAAGGAGCACCCAGACAUGAUAUCGAGAAUUGUUAUCUGCUCAAGUAUGAGGUUCAGAAAUUGAUGAAGAGUGGUAUGGUGUCCUUUGAGGACCGCGCACCGAAUGUGAAAGCGAACCCGUUGCUCGCCUAUGGGAACUCUUUUGUGAAUAUGGUGGAUGGUUGUCCUGGGGAAUUUAGAGUUUUUGAUGUAAGGUUUAUCAGGAGGUCCUUGGUGCAGAUGCAUAAGGAUGUUUGUUUGGUAAGUGAGUGUGAGCAUGACCAUGACGGUUGUGCUGUUUGUAGUGUUAACCUGAGAGGUUGCGAAGUUGUAAAAAAGGACAUCCAAAGACUGAUGGAUGAAGGCAUGAUCCAAAUUGUUCAGUCCUGUUAUGUAGAUGACGAUGUUAAUGUCAUAGUGCCUGUUUUCAAGCAACCUGAGAAGUUGGUGAUUCAGUAUGACUCCAGUAACAGCAACAGUCAAAGAUCAGUAUCGUCGUUGGUAAUACGGUUAGCAGGCCCAGUCCUGUAUUCAUCUGAUAAAGUUGUUUCGUAUCAGUAUAAUGCUACAAUGAUGAAGGAUGGUCAAGAGGUCCCGUUACCUACGACUAGUUCAGUGGUGAGCAUUGCUGAUGUUACUAAGGUGACCCGCAGUGGUCGAGGGUUUGGUCCAGUGUUCCCAAAGGAUAAAGAAGAAGCAGUUGUGAGUAAGAAAGUGGAAGUGCCUGUUGAAAACCCAGUUGGCUGUUCAAAAGAUAAGUCUGGUGAAUCCAGCAACUUGAAACCCAAUGAUGAUGAUAAGGUACUUCGGUUAAUUAAAAGAAGCGAGUGUAAUAUGGUGGAGCAGCUACUCCAAACCCCCUCAAAAAUUUCAGUGUUGUCUCUGCUCAUGAAUUCCGAAGCACACAGAGAAGCACUGCAGAGAGUUCUAGAACAAGCUUUUGUAGAACAUGAUGUUACAGUGGAUCAGUUCGAUCAUAUUGUGGCUAACAUCACUUCUUGCAAUAAUCUCAGUUUCUAUGAUGAAGAACUCCCUGAGGAGGAUCAUAAUCUGGCUUUGCACAUCUUGAUGAAUUGCAAAGAGGAUGCUUUGUCAAAUGUGCUUGUUGACACCGGUUCGUCACUUAACGUGUUUCUGAAGUCAACUUUGUCAAAGUUAUAUUACCAAGGAGAUCCUAUGAGGUAUAGUGGUGUAAUUGUCAAAGCCUUUGAUGGUUCGCACAAAACGGUUAUUGGCGAAGUGGACCUUCCAGUCAAAAUAGGUCCGAGUGAUUUUUAGAUUACUUUUCAAGUAAUGGAUAUCCACCCAACCUACAAUUGCUUAUUGGGAAGGCCAUGGAUCCAUGAGGCAGGAGCUGUUACUUCAACUUUGCAACAGAAGCUCAAAUUUGUGAAGAAUGGCAAGCUAGUGAUUGUUGGUGGAGAGUAGGCGAUGUUGGUUAGCCAUUUGUCAUGUUUCUCUUAUGUUGAAGUUGAGGAUGAGGUUGGAACUCCGUUCCAAGCCUUAUCUAUUACUGCUGAGAAGAGGGUUGGGGCACCUAUGUCCUCGUUGAAAGACGCUCAAAAGAUUGUGGAAGAAGGCAAUGUUGAUUAGUGGGGGUAUGGUAGAGGUCUCCGACAACAAAGGCAGAACCGACUUGGGGUUCCAGAAAGGUUCAUCAAUUGCAAGGUCUAAAGAUAUGUAACUUAGCUUCCGUAGCGGAGGGUUCAUUCAUGGCAAUGAACAACACUUAGCUGCUGUGCUAGAGGAUGACGAAGAGGAGGACGACACCAAUUUUGUGACGCAUGGAAAGGAUUGCAACAAUUGGACUACUGUGGAUAUUCCUGUUAUUUUGCAUCGAUCUAAGUAAUUGCUUUUAUAUGUUUUUAAAUGCUUUUCCCAUGCCUAAGGGAGAAGUGAACAUUGUUUAGGCAUUUUCAAAUUGAUCAUCAAUAAAAUUAAUUCUAUUCAUCCACAUCUAUGAUGUUUAUUUUUACUUUUUGCUUUAUUCUGAAAAUGGUAAUCACAAAAAACAUAAAUAAACAAUAUAAUUGUCCAUCUGCAUAAUAGUUGGCCACAAAUUCACUUCUCUAAAAUCAAAAUAUCAAAUCAUUAUGCAGGUUGGUUCCUAACCCCAUUGAAUACAAUGAUCCUUCUCCUUCUCCAAAUUUUGAAUCCCUGUGUUUGAGGCCGAGGAGGAAAGUGAUGUAGAAGUGAGUGAUGAAUUAUCUCGUCUUCUUAAGCAAGAUGAAAAGACCAUUCAGCCGUUCGAAGAGCAGGUCGAGUUAGUCAAUUUGGGUUCCGAGGAUGAUGUGAAGGAAGUCAAGAUUGGGUCAUGAAUUAUCUCGUCUUCUUAAGCAAGAUGAAAAGACCAUUCAGCCGUUCGAAGAGCAGGUCGAGUUAGUCAAUUUGGGUUCCGAGGAUGAUGUGAAGGAAGUCAAGAUUGGGUCUCGACUGUGUCCAGAAGUCAAGAAAGGGUUGAUUGAUCUUCUUCAAGAGUAUUCAGAUGUGUUUGCUUGGUCCUAUCAAGAUAUGCCUGGGUUGGAUUCUGAGAUUGUGGAGUAUAGAUUGUCGUUGAAGCCAGAAUGCCCACUAGUCAAGAAGAAGUUGAGAAGAACGCAUUCUGACAUGGCUGUGAAGAUCAAAGAGGAAGUGUGUAAGACCCCAAUUUUGACCCUAAGAUCCCUCAUGCAAUUUCAUCAUAAGCAUUAGCAUUGGGAUCAUGUAUUGGCAUCCUCCUUACCCCUUAUUCAUUGGGCUUGUUUUGGGAGAGAUCACCAAGAACUUUGUGAUUGUAUCAUACUUGUAUUUUAUCAUUUCACUAACCAAAAUACAAAAAAUAUGUAUUUGCAUUUGUCUAACUCUUUUGUAGGUAGGACAUGAUAUCAUUGAUUCAUCAAGUUCACAUCUAGGAUUUGAGACCCUCAUGAACAAAGAGCACAACCAAGAAUUGAUUCAAGGGUGGUUAUGAACAUCAUAUAUGAGUCCCAAUGAUCUCUACAUGUUAUAUUGAUCAUGUUUUCUUCGAGAGUUUGAAGGUGAUUUGCCUUGGAAACCCUAGUUUGACUGGGUAUCUUGAGUAACUUCUCCAACAAGCUAUCUCACCAAUUGAUCAAAUUUCUCAAGGGACACUUCAAAAUUCAUCAUCUUUAUGCAUAUUAUACCCAUUAGCCAAUAAAGUCAGAGAAUUGAAUGUUAGCAAGUUGGUUGAUGGGGGGUGGCCAGAUGAAUUAAUCUGAUCAAAACUGAGUCUCCCUAGACCCUAUCUCCUACAAUUUUUACCAUAUGAAAUGAUUCCAAGAGAAAACUUACUAUAAAUGAACAUUCCAAAACAACUUUCCAUGUUGAGACCUAGAGCUAGUUUUGCUUGGAAAAUCAUUUUCUAUGUUGAAACAUUAUAAGUCAUUUUGUCUAAACCCUAAUUUGAAAGUCAACUUCCCAAGGCCAUAACUUGCUCAAUUUUUAUGAGAUGAAAGAUUUCCAACUUUCACAAUCAAAUUCAAUGUGCCUACUUCAACUUUUAUGUUUGGAGUGAGAGAUAAUUCAACUUUUUUGAGCAUGUGAUAUGAGACUACAUUAUAGGUCACUUUUGACCUAACCAUUGAUCAAGUGAUUUUUCCAAACUUCAAAAAUGCAUAACUCUAUCAUUUCAAAUCCAAAUGACAUGAAAUUCAUGACCAUUUUGAAUGUAUUUGAGAGAGCUACAACUUUUAUGAAGACACGUUUCUCAUUUGAAGCUCAUAUAAAAAGUUAAGCAAGGUGGAAUAUUGAGACAUAUGGCUUGACACUUAGAAAAUUUUUGAUAUGUCAAAUUUUUACAAACUUCCACCUCAAAUUUCUCCAAGUUCCAAGCUCCAAAUGAAAAAGUGUUGAACAUCAAAGUUGUUCCUCUUGAUCUCACCUUUCCAAAGAGCUCAAAUUCAUUCAUUUUGGAUGAUAAAUACAUAGGAUGCGCAUGGCUUAAACAGACUGAUAUUAUUUGGCAUGGAUCAAACUUCAAGCAUCAAUGUUCAGUUGCCUUGCAAUCCAAGCUUACUUCAUUACAUCUGAUCUUCAAUUAUGGACCUCAAGUUAUCAUUUCAUGGGCCUAUGUGCGCCCAUGCACCAUUACAUCACCAUUUGCUAAAAUUGGAAAGUGAAAGUGAGUGUGCAAAUAUCACAUGAUUCAGCUAUAAAUAGAGCUUCAAUUGCUCAGAAAUGGAUACACAAUCGCGCCAACUUUGGUUCCCCAUUGCAAACCCUUAAUUCUUAAAGGAUAAGCCUGAUAAAUUCAUUUGAAUUUGAGCUUGAAUCUCCACUAUUUUGGAAUUCAAUUCUCCAGGAAUCCAUUGCUUCUAAACCUUUCCAUUCUCUUCCUGCAAGCAAGUGGAGUGAGUCCUAGCACAAGCAAGAUGAAGAUCCAUUGAGUUCACACCUCCAUUGAAGGUAAUUUUCAGAAAUUUUGAACUCUUCGAUUCUCUCAAAUUCUUGCUCAAUUCUAUCGAUUCUUUGGUUGUCUGAAGUCCUACCAAUGUAGGCAAGAAGAUUGAGUUGCUUUGAGGUCAAAUCGAAGCAACUCAGUUCAUGUACCUCAAAUUUCAAUUCCACAUAUCUCUCAAUAUACUUGGAAAUGGUUGUCUGAAGUCCUACCAAUGUAGGCAAGAAGAUUGAGUUGCUUUGAGGUCAAAUCGAAGCAACUCAGUUCAUGUACCUCAAAUUUCAAUUCCACAUAUCUCUCAAUAUACUUGGAAUUGGAAUAAAUGGAGGUCAUAUUCGAGCUCAGUGUCAGUUUUUCUUUAAGAUCAUGUCCUUGUUUUUCUUUUUGGUGAUGGUUUAUGUUGACCAGUCUGGUGAGGUCCACCGGAGAAGAUGACCGGAGCUCUGGCUCCGGCGAUGACUUGGCCAACCUCUGAACCACAUGAUCCUCCUCUCACGUUUUAAUCCUGAGCGUUGGUGUUGAUUACCAUAUUUGCCACGCAGUUGACUCACGUCUAUGUGGAACGCGCGCUAGAGACCAACAGAUCUGCCACCUCAAUUAAAGAGGGAGAUCUGAUGGUCCACAUAAUUUUGAUUUUAUGAUAUUUUAUUUUAAUUGCAUUUUCUUCAAUAAUUCAUAUUAAAUUCAAUAUUGAUUCAAAAAAUAUGGGACUUUCACUAAAAAAUUUCAAAUAUUUUUCUCUUUCAUAUUCUGAAUUAAAAUUAUUUUUUGGGUCAUUAUUAAUAUUUUUCAUGAAUUAAUUGAUUAACGUAAACAAAAAUUAACAAAUUUUUAUAAAAAUUUACUCCAAAAAUUAUGAAAUUUUUUCUCCAAGGUCCUUUGACCUUGUUUGACCUAUGAUAAAUCUCAUGGUCAUUUCUUUGGUGUUUUGAUAUGAUUUUAGGAAUUGGACAAAACAUAUUUGAUUUAAAUGCACUAUUUUAUUAUUUUUAAUUGAAUAAAUGACAAUUAAAUUUUUUUGACCAUUUGUAUUGACUUGUAUGAGUUUGCUUAUUGUUGUUGGGCCUUGGUCAAGGUUGAUUUGACUUUGUCAAGUUAAUAUCAUUGAAUUUAGGGGAUUGAUGGAAUGUACAUUCCAUCUCCCAAAAUGAAUGAAUGAUAUUAAUUUAAUAAAAGUCAUCCUUUGACCAAUUUGUGAUCUCAUUCAUCCCCUUCCCACUUCAUCUCAUUCCUCUUCUUAAUUCAUUCAUUCCAUUAGGCCUAUGACAUCUCAAAGUCCUAAUGCUAGUUGAUUGAAAAAUUGACAUGAGUAUGGAUGAGAUUAGGCCACACAUUUUGCAUAUUCUUUUUUGUGUGUGAUAUAUUUUAUGAGCAUAGUCCAUUAUACUAUGUCUCUAACAUGCAUUAACACCAAAAUUUUAUUGCCCGACCUCAAAUAGUUGUGACUUCUACAUAAGUCCAAUUACGAUUUGUCACACCCCAAUUUUGACCCUGAAUCACUGAUUCAAUACAUUCAUCAUAGUUAUUGCAUCUCUACAUAGCAUACCAUGCAUUCCAUACCACAUAGUGCCUAGAAUAUCAGUCGAAAUGAUUUUUUGGAAUUACAGGCGAACCGUUUGAAUUAAUUGACAGAUGUGCGUCAAAUCAGUAUACGAAAAUUUUUAAAAUCAAGCUUGCAGACAUCAGUUUUAUUAAUCUAUGUUUUGUGUAGUUUAAUCUGGUAUGCUCGAAUUAUUUUUCGGCUAAUGUUUUGGCCACCUAUCUCUCGACCCGCCUAAGCCUUUUAACCGGUCAAAAUUUAUUUCAAAAUUAAAAGAACGCUGUAUUUUUCCAAUAAGUUUAUUUCGUGCUGAUCAUUUUAGUACAUUUGGUUUAUUUUUUUUCGAGCACUUUUGCGCUUGAUUUUUAUUUAUGAUUGAUCCAUUUAUUUAUUUAGUCAAAAUAAUCAUCACAUUUAAAUAUAAUUGAUUGAAUAUAUGGUUUAGUUUUAUUUAAGGUAUUUAAUUUUAUUUUACUAACUCAUUUCUAAUAUUCAAUAUUAAAAAAAGAAGAGAAUCCAAUGUGAAAAGGACACCAUGCCAGCUAGCACCAACAAUUUUCUUUCUCUCUUUCAUCGUGUGCGCAGAAACGAUAAAAACGGACCACUCCCAACGGCUUUUUCUACUCCACCAAGGACAACACUCUCUCUCUCCAAAACGGUCAUAAAAGAAAAGGUUUAUCCAUUGGGAAUAAGGAGAGACCCUUUUUCUGCAGUUUUUUCAAGGACUGAUUUUUCCAAUACCUUUCUCUCUCUCCAACAACACAAUCUCUCCACUCUUCAUCCUCCGUCAAAACCUAGCACCCUUCUGUUGGUGUACGCCCUAGAGGCCAAUACUUUUGGUACUUGUAUCGAAUUAUUUAUUAAUUAAUAAAAGGCUUUUUCUUUAUUAUGUUUGAUUAAUAAAGUCCC